CUCUUGAUGUAGCAGGGCAAUCUAUGCUUGAAAGUUCUAGCCUAGAACUUGAAGCAGAUCAAGUUGUAAUACAACAAACUUACAAAAAGCAGAUUGUGGUGUCUGGAAAUCCAAUAAUUGACAAUGUUGGCAAGCAAACUAAAUUGAACUUUUCCUGUCAGUCAGAUGUGAUGGAGGUGGAGGGUAGACUUGACAAUCAAGGGAGAUUACCUGCUGCCGCUGUCCCAAGAUAUUUGAACCUUGAGCCGUCACUUGCAAUGGACUGGCUUGAGAUCUC
rnacentral:misc_RNA from 1 species